UAGGGAAUAUUGGACAAUGGGUGAGAGCCUGAUCCAGCCAUGCCGCGUGCAGGAAGAAGGCGUUAUGCGUUGUAAACUGCUUUUUGCCAGGGGAUAAAAAGACCGUGCGCGGUUAAUUGAAGGUACCUGGUGAAUAAGCCACGGCUAACUACGUGCCAGCAGCCGCGGUAAUACGUAGGUGGCAAGCGUUGUCCGGAUUUACUGGGCGUAAAGGGCGCGUAGGCGGCAAUUCAAGUCAUCUGUGAAAUCUCCGGGCUUAACUCGGAACGGUCAGAUGAUACUGCUUUGCUAGAGUGCAGAAGGGGCAAUCGGAAUUCUUGGUGUAGCGGUGAAAUGCGUAGAUAUCAAGAGGAACACCUGAGGUGAAGACGGGUUGCUGGGCUGACACUGACGCUGAGGCGCGAAAGCCAGGGGAGCAAACGGGAUUAGAUACCCAUGUAGUCCCUGAGCGGGCUGGCAAGGCGCAU
rnacentral:rRNA from 1 species